rnacentral:rRNA from 1 species
UACAGAGGUCUCAAGCGUUGUUCGGAUUCAUUGGGCGUAAAGAGCGUGUAGGCGGCCCGAUAAGUCCGCUGUGAAAGUCCAGGGCUCAACCCUGGAAUGCCGGUGGAUACUGUCGGGCUCGAAUCCGGAAGAGGUGAGUGGAAUUCCUGGUGUAGCGGUGAAAUGCGCAGAUAUCAGGAGGAACACCAAUGGCGAAGGCAGCUCACUGGGACGGUAUUGACGCUGAGACGCGAAAGCGUGGGGAGCAAACAGG